rnacentral:rRNA from 1 species
UACGUAGGGUGCAAGCGUUGUCCGGAAUUAUUGGGCGUAAAGAGCUCGUAGGCGGUUUGUCGCGUCGGCUGUGAAAACCUGGGGCUCAACCCCGGGCCUGCAGCCGAUACGGGCAAACUAGAAUUCGGUAGGGGAGACUGGAAUUCCUGGUGUAGCGGUGAAAUGCGCAGAUAUCAGGAGGAACACCGGUGGCGAAGGCGGGUCUCUGGGGCCGAUAUUGACGCUGGAGGAGCGAAAGCGUGGGGGAGCGAACAGG